rnacentral:tRNA from 1 species
GCAUCGGUAGCUCAGCUCGGCUAGAGCGCCACCUUGCCAAGGUGGAGGUCACGGGUUCGAAUCCCGUUCGGUGCUC